ACUUUGUAUGAAAGGAGAGAAGGUUAGCACUCCCCUUGACAAUAAUGGAAUUGGCCCCUGUGGCCUGCAACACAUAUACGGUUAAGGCAUUGCCACCUACUUCGUGGCAUCUCUAACCAAGUUUUUGC
ensembl:snRNA